rnacentral:rRNA from 1 species
UACGGAGGAUGCGAGCGUUAUCCGGAUUUAUUGGGUUUAAAGGGUGCGUAGGCGGAAGUUCAAGUCAGCGGUAAAAUCGAGGGGCUCAACCCCUUUAAGCCGUUGAAACUGGGCUUCUUGAGUGGGCGAGAAGUGUGCGGAAUGUGUGGUGUAGCGGUGAAAUGCAUAGAUAUCACACAGAACUCCGAUUGCGAAGGCAGCACACCGGCGCCCAACUGACGCUGAGGCACGAAAGCGUGGGGAUCAAACAGG